rnacentral:rRNA from 1 species
UGGGGAAUUUUGCACAAUGGGGGAUACCCUGAUGCAGCGACGCCGCGUGAUUUAGAAGGCCUUCGGGUUGUAAAAAUCUUUUCUAUGGGAAGAAAAUGACAGUACCAUAGGAAUAAGGACCGGCUAAUUACGUGCCAGCAGCCGCGGUAAUACGUAAGGUCCGAGCGUUGUCCGGAAUCAUUGGGCGUAAAGGGUACGUAGGCGGGUAAGCAAGUUAGAAGUGAAAUCCUAUAGCUCAACUAUAGUAAGCUUUUAAAACUGCUCAUCUUGAGGUAUGGAAGGGAAAGUGGAAUUCCUAGUGUAGCGGUGAAUUGCGCAGAUAUUAGGAGGAAUACCGGUGGCGAAGGCGACUUUCUGGCCAUAACCUGACGCUGAGGUACGAAAGCGUGGGUAGCAAACAGG